rnacentral:lncRNA from 1 species
GUGAAAGAAGUAAUGGUGAUUGAUUGUAGACAUAAGCCAUGAUUCUUAAUUUUGUUUUGUUUUGUUGCAGAAUGCCCUCUCCUACCUUCAUGAAUUUUUGUAACCCUUCCCCAGGAAAAAAAAUGAUAGGAAUUAUAUUUAUAACUGCAUUUACACAAAAUUUUUCAUGUAAUUUAAAUAUCUGUAAACUUUUGACACCCAUCUGUGGAUUGCAGAUUAUGAAUCCCAAGUUUAGAAUAAAAAGUAAAGGAGGAAGACAAUUAUGUUGGCUUCCCAUGGCACUUUCCAAAUUUGGCAUAAUGCAGUACAGCAUCUGGUUUGUUGAAAACUGGCCAAAGGAACUAUUACUGAGAGGAAAUUAGCACCAAAGUGAUUGGACACAAAUUUGGAAAGGGA